AUACGUAGGGGGAGAGCGUUGUCCGGAAUGAUUGGGCGUAAGGGGCGCGUAGGCGGCCGCUUAAGUCUGUAGUGAAAGUCCUGUUUUCAAGAUGGGACUUGCUUUGGUUACUGGGGGGCUUGAGUGCAGGAGAGGUUAUCGGAAUUCCCGGUGUAGCGGUGCACUGCGUAGAGAUCGGGAGGAACACCAGUGGCGAAGGCGGGUAAUUGGACUGCAACUGACGCUGAGGCGCGAAAGUGUGGGGAGCAAACAGGAUUAGAUACCCUGGUAGUCCACACUGUAAACGAUGAAUGCUAGGUGUAAGAGGUAUCGACCGCUUUUGUGCCGGAGUCAACACUAUAAGCAUUCCGCCUGGGGAGUACGGCCGCAAGGUUGAAACUCAAAUGAAUUGACGGGG
rnacentral:rRNA from 1 species